rnacentral:rRNA from 1 species
CAGAUUGAACGCUGGCGGUAUGCCUAACACAUGCAAGUCGAACGAGGUAGCAAUACCUAGUGGCGGACGGGUGAGGAAUACGUAGGGAUCUGCCUUUAAGUGGGGGAUAACCCGGGGAAACCCGGAUUAAUACCGCAUGAUCUCGCAAGAGCAAAGAGGGGGACCGCAAGGCCUCUCGCUUUUAGAGGAACCUACGUCGGAUUAGCUAGUUGGUGAGGUAAUGGCUCACCAAGGCGACGAUCCGUAACUGGUCUGAGAGGAUGAUCAGUCACACCGGAACUGAGACACGGUCCGGACUCCUACGGGAGGCAGCAGUGGGGAAUAUUGGACAAUGGGCGAAAGCCUGAUCCAGCAAUACCGCGUGUGUGAAGAAGGCCUUCGGGUUGUAAAGCACUUUAAGUUGGGAAGAAAAAGCUUCACCUAAUACGUGGAGCCUUGACGGUACCGACAGAAUAAGCACCGGCUAACUCUGUGCCAGCAGCCGCGGUAAUACAGAGGGUGCUAGCGUUAAUCGGAUUUACUGGGCGUAAAGCGUGCGUAGGCGGUUUAAUAAGUCGAUUGUGAAAGCCCCGGGCUCAACCUGGGAAUUGCGGUCGAUACUGUCAGACUCGAAAACGGUAGAGGGAGGCGGAACUCCAGGUGUAGCGGUGAAAUGCGUAGAUAUCUGGAAGAACACCGAUGGCGAAGGCAACCUCCUGGGCCUGUUUUGACGCUGAGGCACGAAAGCGUGGGUAGCAAACAGGAUUAGAUACCCUGGUAGUCCACGCCGUAAACGAUGAGAACUUGACGUUGGUUUG